CUCCAGGGAUUGGUGGAGAAUGAAUCACCUCAUUAGCAUAUUAACGGUCAACUAACACCUGGUGCAUAAACCGCACAUGUGCAGUACCGCUGUUCACCACUAGAGGGAGCCCUAACAAGGGGACAAGCCUGCACAUGCGCAGUAAGUCGUUUAUAUCCAGACAAGGCUGGAUGUCGGCGCCAUCUUUGUUUCGCCGCGCCGCUCUCUACAGGAAGGGCUAUUUGCCCCAUGGAACAAAGAGUCUCAUGGAGUCCAGACUGGCCAAGGAUGACCUUGAACUCAUGAUCUUCCUGCUUUUGCUUCCCAAGUGUUGCAGCUACAGGUACAUAACACCGUGCCAAUUGAGAAAUUAAUUUCCUUAGGCUUUCACCUAAUACGUGGUUUAUGCAUUCCACUUUAUAUAUUAGAGAUUGCCUUGAAAAUAGUUGAAAGAAAAACCGUCUUUAAGAUACAGUGAAAGGAAUAUUUUACUGUGUAUCUUUUUUUUUUUAAAGAUUUUAUUUAUUUUAUAUAAGUGAGUACCCUGUCACUCUCCUCAAACACACCAGGAGAGGGAAUCAGAUUGUGUUGCAGAUGGUUGCGAGCCACCAUGUGGUUGCUGGGAUUUGAACUCAGGACCUCUGGAAGAGCAGUCAGUGCUCUUAACGAAAGGAAUAUUUUAGAAAGAUAUUCUACCUAUCAUUUAAAGUAAAAUUAGCUUUUUUAAAAACGUGGAUAAUAAAUAGAUUUGUUAUAAAUAGAUUUGUCUUAUUUUUAGAUAGUCUCAUACUGGAGCUCAGGCUGGUCUCAGAACUCAGCUUCCUGAGGUCUGGGGUUAUAGGUAAUUAGAGUUGUGUUAUACACAGAAGAGAGAGAGAGAGAGAGAGAGAGAGAGAGAGAGAGAGAGAGAGAGAGAGAGAGAGAGAGACUCUGAGAAAGUUAGCAAUGUCCACAGCGUCACACUCGGGAGGGGUGGAGUCUGGCCUGAGGUGGUUCAAUAGAAGGAAAACAAGCUCCAAGAAGCUACUCCGGAGAAAUGUCCUCAAGGGGUUCUGAGCACACUCCUGGGCCUUCCCAGAGCUUCAGUGUCAAAUCCCAGAGGAUCUGAAGUGCCUCAGUAAGGAACUGGGUGGGGAGAGAUAGCUGCAGUAACUGGGGAGGGCAGGAAUAAUCGGCUUGACACUGGUCCAGGCAGUCCAACAAUCCAGAUGAGAAACCGAAUCAGGGAGAUUAGUAAAAGCAAAUUUGCCCAAUGUCUACCACUUGGAAAAACAGAAGUCACAGCCAAUAGUUUUCAGAGCCUAGUCAGCCAAACCCCCAACUUAAAUAAAGGCUGCUUGGGGCUGGGGGUUGUUGUUGUUGUUGGUGUUAGUAUAUUCCCAGCAUUUGGGAGGCAGAGGGAGAUGAAUAUCUUUGAGAAACCCUGUCUCGAAAAUUCAAAAAAGAAAGGAGGUGACUUAUCAAGGCCUUCUGAGAUAAGGAAUUGCUCCGAAUGAUGUGACUGAGUGGAAUCAAAGGUGAGUGAUUCGCGAGCCUUUGGAGAAUAACUAGCGCUCUGUCCCGGUGUAGCCACCAACCGGCUGUCAGCUU
ensembl:lncRNA